rnacentral:rRNA from 1 species
UACGUAGGUGGCAAGCGUUGUCCGGAUUUACUGGGUGUAAAGGGCGUGCAGCCGGGCUGACAAGUCAGAUGUGAAAUCCCGCGGCUCAACCGCGGAACUGCAUUUGAAACUGUCAGUCUUGAGUACCGGAGAGGUCAUCGGAAUUCCUUGUGUAGCGGUGAAAUGCGUAGAUAUAAGGAAGAACACCAGUGGCGAAGGCGGAUGACUGGACGGCAACUGACGGUGAGGCGCAAAAGCGUGGGGAGCAAACAGG